rnacentral:lncRNA from 1 species
GAGCAGCUGCUCCUCCAGACCCUGCCCCUCUGAGAUGCUGACAGGGGAAGAGAAAGAUGGAUUCCACUACAAGAGCUUCCAAGCCUUCCGCUGAGGCUUAAGUCUGGCCUGAGCAGAUAUAUUUGGUUACACCUUAGGGAUUGUUUUCACUCAACACUAAAUUUUAUUAAGAUUUGAAUGAUGAAGCGAGACGCUGUGGUUAGGAAAACAAAUGCCGAAUGCCUUUACCUUGUUGGGAAUCGCCUGGCGAUUCUGAAAACUCAGAGACAAGCCGUGCUUUAUUCCAUAUGAGGAUUUUCCCAAUGACAUCCUAAAAGGCAAUUAGGCUGUCGUUCUAUGUGCUCGCAACAACUCAACUUUUCCAAUUUUUAAAGUGGCACGGUUAAGUAAAACUCUCUGUAUCGUAAAAGAGAUCGUGUUGGCACCGCCAAGCAUGGCCUCCGCCAGGCUUUUUCUGCCGUGACGACCUUGUAGCAUCCAACCAAACCUAUAGGAAGAAGCCAAGAGAACCAUUGUUGAGUCAGGGUCUCCGCACCCGGCAUUGUGGACAACUUUGUAAGCCUCAAGUCAAGAGAAACAACCCCCAACUCAAUGAUGAACUCUAAGCCCAGCUGGGAGCCAUUGUAGACCGAGGCUUGCAAGACAGGGAUGGUGUCUGUGGCUGUGCAGUGGUGCCCCGUAUCCAGUGGUACCCCGUAUGCACGGCCAUAAUAAAGUUUAAUUUAUAAUAAGGCACUAUAAGAUAUUAACAGCAAUCCCUCAUAAUAAAAUAGCACAAUUAUAACAAUAUACUAUAAUCAACGUCAUUUAACACUCAUGAGCUCUUUACUUCUGGGAUUUCCAUUUCAUGUUUUUGAUGGUAGUGAACCAUGGGUAAUUGCUACUUCAGAAGGCAAUACGUCCCACAAGGACCCCUAGGGGAUACGUAUUGACCAUAUUAAAGGAAACUGACUUGUCCAGUCCAGUGGGCUUAAUGGAAACACCAUGUGCUCUUGAACCUUGGUUCUGUGGUUACUUAUUGAAGAAAAGAUUGAAAACACAACUCUAGGGGAUCCCCAGAUGAGAG